UAAGGAAUAUUGGUCAAUGGAGGAAACUCUGAACCAGCCAUCCCGCGUGAAGGAUGAAGGGGCUCUGCCUUGUAAACUUCUUUUGUCUGGGGCGAAAAAGCUCGAUUUAUCGAGAACUGACGGUACCAGAAGAAUAAGCACCGGCUAACUCCGUGCCAGCAGCCGCGGUAAUACGGAGGGUGCAAGCGUUAUCCGGAAUCACUGGGUUUAAAGGGUGCGUAGGCGGCUUAGUAAGUCAGUGGUGAAAGGC
rnacentral:rRNA from 1 species